UACGGAGGGUGCAAGCGUUGUUCGGAAUCACUGGGCGUAAAGCGCACGUAGGCGGAUUGCUAAGUCAGGGGUGAAAUCCUGGAGCUCAACUCCAGAACUGCCUUUGAUACUGGCGAUCUUGAGUCCGGGAGAGGUGAGUGGAACUGCGAGUGUAGAGGUGAAAUUCGUAGAUAUUCGCAAGAACACCAGUGGCGAAGGCGGCUCACUGGCCCGGUACUGACGCUGAGGUGCGAAAGCGUGGGGAGCAAACAGG
rnacentral:rRNA from 1 species